AUCAGAUUAUCUCCCAUUAUUUGAAACCGCAUUCUCUAAUUUUUCGCGACCAAAACAAAAAUGUGGAAUUGUACAAAUAGUAGGCAUUUCUAGCAUAACACGCAGCAGCAGAACCUUAGAUAUAAGCAAAAGAGUCGUCACUUCAUUAAAUUGUCAAUAACCCCCAGAACACACCCACAAACCUUGUUCACAGCUAUAAGGAAUACAUUUGGAUAUUUGGAAUUUGACAAUACACAUAUUGAAUAUGUCAUUGUGCUUUGGGAAACCGUGAAUAAUACUCAGCAGAUGGACAUUGAUGAGGAAAGUGUCAAAUACAGAGACCUUAUUCAAGGAAAUUUUAUAGACAGCUACAGAUAUUUAACAUAUAAACGAGUAUUUAGCUUGUUCUGGGUGAAUGGAUUUUACAACAAUGUGACUUAUGUCAUGAAGAUUGACGAUGAUAUCACCAUUAACAUUCCAUUUCUAAUACCUUAUCUUAGCAAUAAACGAAACAAAACCAAGGUUUUAGAAUGUUUUAUUCUUAUAGAAGCUAUACCAUAUCGUAAUCCGCGUGAUAAAUGGUAUAUGUGUUCGUCGGACUACCCCUUUGCAACGUCCUCCUUAUCAUGCUUAUUGUGCAGGACCUUCCUCAAUUAUGUCCGCUGACGAUAUAAAUGAAAUGCUUGAAGGACAAAAAAUGUGCCUUUUUGUUGGCUUGAAGAUGUCUAUGGUGGUGGAUUUUUACCCUGGAUUUUACGUAUAGAAAAAGUUCAUCCGAAAUGUUAUAUUAAAGAUUUAAAGCAGGGAUGGGGUCGAUUACUUUAAAAUGUAAUCGAUUAGAUUACAAUUGCUUUGCUUAUUUAAUGUAAUCGAUUAGAUUACAAUUACUUUGCUAAUUUAAUGUAAUCGAUUACAUUACAAUAACACCUAAAUUCAAAUGUAAUUAAUAACAUUAUAUUACUUUUCGUUAAAAUAAUCAUGAUUACUUUGGAUUACUUCUGAUUACAUUGUAUAUUGUAAUAUUAAAGCAUUUCUUAUAAACUUUUAUCCUUACGAAAAAGCUAAUUUUUGUGAAAUUUUGUGUUUUUUAAAUCCUUAAUUUAUUCAUCUAAUUCAAAAUUUAGACGGCUAGAAGCAGUGUUACAUGCAUAAAGUUUGAUAGCAUAGACAAGUGUCCUUUUCUGUGUAAAAGAUAUACAUUGUUUUUAUAAACAUUUUACCCACCUGCACAAUUAACAAAAAGCGUGAACAAAUAAUGCAAAUUCAAUUCAGUGGAUUUAUUGUCUGUGGGGAUAUAAUUGACAAAUCCAUAUGCUUUUGCAGGUGUUAAUCACUACUUCAAUUUUUUGACAAACAAUAGUUGAGAAUGGAUAUUAAAAAUUAAUUGUCUAAUUGCAAUAUCAAUGAAGUUAUCAGUAGUUUAUUAUAAUUAUGUUUCUAAAUGUUUGAAAAAUUUCAAUACUUUUUUUGUAAUUUAUUUUUAUUUUAUCUGAAAAAGCACCAAGCAUUGUGAUACAUGAAUACAUAGAUAAUUUAUAAUACAUGUAUUAAUAUUAAAUUUUUCAAUAACAG